UCUGCUUCACAACCUGAGACGUUGAAAAGGAAAUCAUUAAUUGAGGAUUGCAUUCAGAAAAUCAAGCAUAUAUCACCUCUCUACAGGGUCACUACCUACUAGACAUUGUGCAGAAAAGUGCAGAAUUAUUUUGCUUAAAUUCUACACAAACAAUAUAAAAUAGGGUCUACUAGUCCCAUUUUGCUGACAAAGAAACCGAAGAGAUAACGUCUCUGCUCAAGGUCACCUGGCAGUGAGCAGCCGGCGUGGUGAGCCAGGGCUGUGACCGUGGCCUGUGGGCUGACAGCUGGGGUCACCGGGAGCACUGCCGGCUCCUAACCAUGCUUCCUGGGCGCCUCGCUCUUGAAACAUAGAAAGCACAAUUGAUUCCUUUCCUCCUGCCACCCUCUGCCCACCCCGAGGCUCAGCCGCAUGCCCUGCCUCCAGAGCUUUGGGAAGAAUUUCAGCUCCUGUGAGUAAAUCAUGGAAAGGUUACAGGUGCUCUAGGUGAUGCAGGACUGUCUUUAAUUAUUGCAAUUGCUCCCGAAAAUUCUACUCUCUGUGUCCUCUUUCAGCAUCACACAGACUUUCACAAGCAUAAAGCCAAAGAAAAAACACAGCCAACAAAGACGAAGCCGGAGAACCCGCUUCUGAGGAAUUCCUCUUGCAAGCGGCUAAUUGAAACAUCCCCUCGGUUGGUGCCGCUCGGUUUUGACAGCCGCUCUGCCCCUUGUCAUAAAAUCGAUGGUCUUCUUCUUCCUCCCCUUCCUGGGCCGCCUUGCUCUGACGGGGGCCCUUCCUUCCCACUGAGUCUUCCUCGGAUCUCGGGGUUAAGUGGUCUUUUCAUGCCGCCCAGCCAGACAGGCACAAGACAUGGAGAGGCUUUUGAGAAUGAGCCAUGUUAAGUGGGCUUGAUGGGGGUCACGGCCACCAUUACUGCUAUCACCACAGUGAUAAAAUGGAGUGGUAAUGACGGGGAAGGUACUUAUCACUGUCUUCCUGAGAUCACUUAAGAUACUUUGGGUCUGAAGCUUUUUGCCAAAGACAAAUGGAACAUGCACAAGAUAGACGUGGCCACCGCAGAAGGCUUGUGUGUGACCCUGUGUGGGCCUGUGUCCACCUGUGUGGCUCCAGGAAGGGAGGGUGUGGUCAGGCCAGGGCCUGUCCUGUUCUGUGAGGCAGCCACCUGUGGGCUCAGGAUCGGGCGGCAGACACUGCAGGGUGGGAUCGCGGGCUGCCUUUCUCAAAUUGCCGACCUGCUGUUUGUUUUCCUAAACUUCUGCGGUCAUUGGCGGGGAUGGACCCUUCAGAACCUAACUCACAGCAGCUCAGUCAGAGGGGACCAGAACUAGCUACCCUGAGCCCGGCCUGGUUCAGUGCCAUCACUAGUGUGCUGUGAGACUUGGGUGAGAUACUGAACUUCUUUAUGUCUCUGUUCCCCAGGGUCCCCGACUCCUCCUGGCCAGCCUGGAACUGUCUUGGAUUGCACACUGCAGUACCCAGUCCUGGGAAGCACUCAGUCCUGGGCAACUCCGGGUGAUGGGCGACAGUGUUCAACUGGCACACACCAGACCUGUAGACACACACACACACACACACACACACACAACUUCACGUUUUCAGAGCCAUGUUAGAUUCAUAGCAGAAUCGGGAGGAGGGCAUGGAAAAUCCCACCCACUGCCCACCAUGGAGGCCCACCUACCUCACGUGAACCCUGGCUCAGGGGUGUGUCUAUUGUAAAUGACACACCUCUGGGGACACACUGUCAGGUGGUCUGGGAGUCCAGCACUCUGUGGGUUUGGACUAACAUGGGCCAGCGCCUGCAGGGCUCUCAUGGAGCAUGCCCUCUGCCUCGGAACCUGCGCCCCAGUCCUGGCACCCACCAAUGCCCUGCACUGUCUCCACGCUGGGUUCUCCCAUGAGCUUCUCCCACACUGUGGGCUUCAGAUUGUACAGAAUGCAGCACGCUUACGGUUCUAUUUUAAGUUAUUUGUAGGUUUUAAUGAAGCAAAUCACUUUUCUGGGCUUUAAUUACAUCACCCAUAAAAUGAAGUACUUACAGCAAUUUUAAAACCUAUUCCAGUUCUAACGUUGUGCUAUUCUGCAAUCAUUAAUAGCUCUAAGAUUUGUAUUGAUAAACUUUUUAUAAAGUGCUGAGAAUAGUGUAACAAGCCCCCUUUCCCACAAAAGCUUCACGGAGCAGCUGUGUUGAAAGCAAGGUCCCAGGAAUGUGCACUCCAACGUCCUCCUGGUGAGGACACAGGCAGCACCGACCCGACCAGUGGAGACUUACCCCGUUCCUCUUCCUAGAGUCACUGUUGAUAUAUUCACACAGACCUGUCAUUCGACAAGAUGACAGCAUUUUAAAAUUUGAAAUGUAACUCACAGUUGCCAAUAUCCUUCACUGAAGAACAGACAUUGGCCCAGAAAAUGAGAGGAGUGGGUCUAGACAGAGGAGGCCUGAUCCAGGGCCAGCGGCUGCAGACCUGGGUCUAGACAGAGGAGGCCCCAUCCAGAGCCAAAGGCUGCAGACCUGGAUCUAGACAGAGGAGGUCCCAUCCAGAGCCAAAGGCUGCAGACCUGGGUCUAGACAGAGGAGGCCCCAUCCAGAGCCAAAGGCUGCAGACCUGGAUCUAGACAGAGGAGGUCCCAUCCAGAGCCAAAGGCUGCAGACCUGGGUCUAGACAGAGGAGGCCCCAUCCAGAGCCAAAGGCUGCAGACCUGGGUCUAGACAGAGGAGGCCCCAUCCAGGGCCAGCGGCUGCAGACCUGGGUCUAGACAGAGGAGGCCCCAUCCAGGGCCAGCGGCUGCAGACCUGGGUCUAGACAGAAGAGGCCUGAUCCAAGGCCAGUGGCUGCAGAUGCGGGUGUAGACAGAGGAGGCCUGAUCCGGAGCCAGUGGCUGCAGACCUGGGUCUAGACAGAGGAGGCCCCAUCCGGGGCCAGCGGCUGCAGACCUGGGUCUAGACAGAGGAGGCCCGAUCCAGGGCUAGCAGCUGCAGACGCGGGUGUAGACAGAGGAGGCCUGGUCUAGGGCCAGCAGCUGCAGACGCGGGUAUAGACAGAGGAGGCCUGGUCCAGGGCUAACAGCUGCAGACGCAGGUGUAGACAGAGGAGGCCUGAUCCAGGGCCAGUGGCUGCAGACCUGGGUCUAGACAGAGGAGGCCUGGUCUAGGGCCAGUGGCUGCAGACCUGGGUCUAGACAGAGGAGGCCUGAUCCGGGGCCAGCGGCUGCAGAACUGGGUCUAGACAGGGGAGGCCCCAUCCAGAGCCAGCGGCUGCAGACCUGGGUCUAGACAGGUGAGGCCUGAUCUGGGGCCAGCCACUGCAGACCCAGGUCCACAGCAGAGGAGAUCUGAUCCAGGGCCAGGGGCUUCAGAUGCAGGUGUAGACAGAGGAGGCCUGGUCCAGGGCCAGUGGCUACAGACCUGGGUCUAGACAGAGGAGGCCUGGUCCAGGGCUAGCAGCUGCAGACACGGGUAUAGACAGAGGAGGCCUGGUCCAGGGCUAACAGCUGCAGACGCAGGUGUAGACAGAGGAGGCCUGGUCUAGGGCCAGCAGCUGCAGACGCGGGUAUAGACAGAGGAGGCCUGGUCCAGGGCUAUCGGCUGCAGACGCGGGUGUAGACAGAGGAGGCCUGGUCCAGGGCCAGUGGCUGCCUGGCUGGGCCAGCGGCCUCACAGUCCAAUUUCUUCAAGGGAAACCCAGAGCUUUCUGGAGUCUGAGUUGGAGCGUGGAGAUGUGGUCUGCGGCCUUCACACACUAACUUCAGCAAUAGUGGAAAGUAAGGUUGCAACCAGCCACACUUCAGAUCAAGACACAAACCACAGGGAGCAGGGGUGAAGCCGUCCUUCACCAAUCCUAAGUAGCACUUUCUUUUUUUUUUCCUUUUCUAACGAAUAUUUACCCUCUUCCACAUCAGUACUGUGACCCGCUGCCUGCAUACCUUCGUCAGCUGACUGAUGCAUCAACAUGGAUCUAGCCAAUGGAUGUGGCCACAAAAUUCUGUGCCUCUCUGCCCUACCACUCUGUCAUGUCAUCCUUGGAAGAGCUGAUGGCCCGGGAGUUCCAUGCAUGCCCUCGGCUCAGGGGUCUUCCAUGCUUCCCCACAGCCUGGAAGGAUUGAAGAAGGGACCGGAAGGCUCUUGGGUAUGGAGGCCUGCCUGCCACUCCACACGCUGCCUCCAGUGACUGCCAUGCACUUGAGAGCAGCCAGGUGGCCUUCUCACCUGGCUACCGCAGAUGGCCCUUAGAAACAGCUGGAUGCUCAUGGCGGUCCCAGGCCUGAGAGUCCUGCACCCCGUAGAGACCCCUCUAGAACAGCACUGACCAACACAUCUGGAGGAGAACCACAUGAGGAGAUAAAAAUCCUCAGUAAAAACAAAGAAACAGGGGCUGCUCUUGACAUCUCCGCCCUGCAGAGUUCCGAGGGCCCUCUUCUGUGUCAAGCAGACAUUCCAUCUUCUCGCUGAGCCUCCCCAUCCCCUCCUCCCCCUCCUAUCCCCUCCUCCUGUGGUGCUGUGGCUGGUGAUAUUGACAGACUAAAGGAUUACUCGUUUCCCACAGCCCCACAAGGUAAAUUAAAAAAAGGAAAAGUCAAAGCUAUUUCUGGACCCUCUCGCACGUAGGGACUCCCAACUCAAUACAUCCUGGUUGCUUGGAAAUGG